AUUGAACGCUGGCGGCAUGCUUUACACAUGCAAGUCGAACGGUAACAGGCCGCAAGGUGCUGACGAGUGGCGAACGGGUGAGUAAUGCAUCGGAACGUGCCCAGUCGUGGGGGAUAACGCAGCGAAAGCUGCGCUAAUACCGCAUACGAUCUCUGGAUGAAAGCGGGGGACCGAAAGGCCUCGCGCGAUUGGAGCGGCCGAUGUCAGAUUAGGUAGGUGGUGGGGUAAAGGCCCACCAAGCCAACGAUCUGUAGCUGGUCUGAGAGGACGACCAGCCACACUGGGACUGAGACACGGCCCAGACUCCUACGGGAGGCAGCAGUGGGGAAUUUUGGACAAUGGGCGCAAGCCUGAUCCAGCAAUGCCGCGUGCAGGAAGAAGGCCUUCGGGUUGUAAACUGCUUUUGUACGGAACGAAACGGACCUGGUUAAUACCUGGGGCUAAUGACGGUACCGUAAGAAUAAGCACCGGCUAACUACGUGCCAGCCGCCGCCGUAAAAC
rnacentral:rRNA from 1 species